UUUGUACGAGUUACCAGAAACCGAAUACCCCGACUUUUGGCUAGUUUAGCAUGAUUUCCAGAGAAAUCGUUAUUUUCGAUAAUGAAUUACCUUCCAGGAACAGCUAGUUUGGUAGAAGAGAUAGACAAAAAACUUCUUGUUGUGCUCAGAGAUGGUAGAACUCUAAUAGGAUACCUCCGAAGCAUUGAUCAAUUUGCUAAUCUUGUUUUACACCGGACUAUUGAAAGAAUUCAUGUUGGUAAGAAGUAUGGAGAUAUACCAAGAGGAAUAUUUGUUGUAAGAGGAGAAAAUGUAGUUUUGCUUGGAGAAAUAGUAAGUGUAUAGUACCAGUAUAUACCGUAAUUAGAAAGAAACAAUUUAUAUUAGUUAACCUCUGUCUUCACUUGGUUGUGAAAGAUUUAUCUGAGUGUCCUACAAUAGAUAAGUGAAUAUACAUGUAGCUUUAUUUUUUAAAACAAAAACUGUACGUGCCAUGGAAAUAAAUGAUGGGUUAUUUAAGAAAGAAACAGCAAGUAAAAAGUUCACUGGGAUAUGAACUUGGUUGGUCACGUGAUCAAAUCCUGUGAAGCCGGAAGAGUUGCAGGGGUCCAGGGUUCGAUCCCAGGUCCAGCCAUAUGUUUUCAAUGUACAUGUAUUUAUAUGCUCAUUCUUCUUUUCCUAUUAUAAUUACAUUUAGUGCAGUGACCUGCCCCUGGAACUGACAGGUUAACUCCUGCCGGGGAAGAACCUGGAAUGAUCUUCCAUCCAGGGAGGAAUAAAGUAGUUUGGGGAUAUAUGGACAGUGGAUAUCAGUCUAGGUAGCUCAGUGAUAGAGCCCCUGACUUAUUUGCCUGAAAUAUUAUAAAUUUAAAUUUUGAUUCUAGGAUUUGGAAAAUGAAAAUAACCCACAACUAGAAGAAGUUCCAAUCGACGAUAUUCUGGAAAUGCAGCGAGAAGAACAAAUACAAAAACAACAGGAAGAGGAACGCAAGAAAAAGUCCAUGCUGGAGCGGGGACUUCAGCCUCAUUCUGAACUCCACGAUGAUCUAUUUUAAGAUCAGAGGCCGUGGAGUAUAAAUUACUUGUUGACAUUCAAAAUAAUGUGCUAAACAUAGUUGGAUUGGGAUCUCACAACAUUUUUUUUUUGUUUUGAAAGUUCUGACAUUGCAUGUCAGCUCAAGUUCCUUGAAUGUGUUCCUAAGGUGGAUUGUGAAAAUAUGAAACAUUUCUAGUGCUGUGGUUCUCAAUGAAAGUCAACAUUUUGUUGUAAAAUGUUCUUCAAAUAAAUAUAAAACUUUUGUAGUUAUUCUUAUCUAAAAUGUAAAUAAAUGCUCAGUUUCACCUAUU
rnacentral:misc_RNA from 1 species